AGUGAACGCUGGCGGUAGGCCUAACACAUGCAAGUCGAACGGCAGCACAGUAAGAGCUUGCUCUUACGGGUGGCGAGUGGCGGACGGGUGAGGAAUACAUCGGAAUCUACUUUUUCGUGGGGGAUAACGUAGGGAAACUUACGCUAAUACCGCAUACGACCUACGGGUGAAAGCAGGGGAUCUUCGGACCUUGCGCGAUUGAAUGAGCCGAUGUCGGAUUAGCUAGUUGGCGGGGUAAAGGCCCACCAAGGCGACGAUCCGUAGCUGGUCUGAGAGGAUGAUAGGCCACACUGGAACUGAGACACGGUCCAGACUCCUACGGGAGGCAGCAGUGGGGAAUAUUGGACAAUGGGCGCAAGCAUGAUCCAGUCAUACCGAGUGGGUGGAGAAGGCCUUCGGGUUGUAAAGCCCUUUUGUUGGGAAAGAAAAGCAGCAGGUUAAUACCCCGCUGUUCUGACGGUACCCAAAGAAUAAGCACCGGCUAACUUCGUG
rnacentral:rRNA from 1 species